rfam:Staphylococcus aureus subsp. aureus NCTC 8325, complete genome.
GUAAACACAAUAAAGAGGAAAGUAAAACACACCCUGCUUAUACAGAGAGUCUUUAGUAGCUGAGAGAAGAUUUUGAAAGCGUGUUUGAAAAUGGCCUUGGAGUGUUGAUGCCAAUAUGAGGUGUCUACGGGUUCGCCCGUUAUAGCGAUACAGUAUUAACAUUGAUGUUAAAUGGCGUACUGGAUUCUUUACGCACGAUUUUUUGUUAAUAAGUAUGGGAUAGCACAUUACUAUAUCCUUACUUACUGACUUUAAUUGUGAUAAUUGUUCAGUAAGCAUAUUUACUUUUAAUGCGUACUGAAUAAGGUUAUUUCAGCGAUGGAAUAACAAAUAAAGGUGGUACCGCGAAACAUAAGCUUUCGUCCUUUUU